rnacentral:rRNA from 1 species
AUACGGGAGGCAGCAGUGAGGAAUCUUGCGCAAUGCGCGAAAGCAUGACGCAGCAACGCCGCGUGGGGGAAGAAGGCCUUCGGGUUGUAAACCCCUUUCAGUUGGGACGAAGCUCCGUCGGUGAAUAGCCGGCUGGAGUGACGGUACCUUCAGAAGAAGCCCCGGCUAACUACGUGCCAGCAGCCGCGGUAAUACGUAGGGGGCAAGCGUUGUCCGGAAUCAUUGGGCGUAAAGAGCGUGUAGGCGGCUCGGUAAGUCCGCUGUAAAAGUCCAGGGCUCAACCCUGGAAAGCCGGUGGAAACUGUCGGGCUAGAGUCCGGAAGAGGCGAGUGGAAUUCCUGGUGUAGCGGUGAAAUGCGCAGAUAUCAGGAGGAACACCAAUGGCGAAGGCAGCUCGCUGGGACGGUACUGACGCUGAGACGCGAAAGCGUGGGGAGCAAACAGGAUUAGAUACCCCAGUAGUCG